rnacentral:lncRNA from 1 species
GAUGUUGGUGCCUUUUUUGAAGAGGGAAUGUGGCUGUGCUAUAACUUCCAGGCCCGAGUGGUUACUGCCAGAGAGACAGGCAGCAGGGCCGAGAAAUCUGCAGACCAGUAGCAGCACUUGGCUCCAGACCUGGCCCAGGAGCAGAUCCACUUCAGCUUCAGCUUUACUAAGGCACCCUGCAUCCUCCUCUAUGUCAUCUCUCUUACCACUGACUUCCUAGCGGAGCUGGUCAAGCCCACAGAUAAGGGAAAGCAUGCCU